rnacentral:rRNA from 1 species
AUAUCAAUAAGCGGAGGAAAAGAAACCAACAGGGAUUGCCUUAGUAACUGCGAGUGAAGCGGCAAAAGCUCAAAUUUGAAAUCUGGCGCCUCCGGCGUCCGAGUUGUAAUUUGGAGGGAUAUCUUCGGGGGUGGCGCCGUCCCAAGUUCCUUGGAACAGGACGUCAUAGAGGGUGAGAAUCCCGUGCCUGGAUGGCUGUCCAUCCCCAUGUGAAGUGUCUCCGACGAGUCGAGUUGUUUGGGAAUGCAGCUCAAAAUGGGUGGUAAAUUUCAUCUAAAGCUAAAUAUUGGCGAGAGACCGAUAGCGCACAAGUAGAGUGAUCGAAAGAUGAAAAGCACUUUGAAAAGAGAGUUAAAAAGUAC